rnacentral:tRNA from 1 species
GCCUGGGUGGCUGAGUCUGUUAAGUGUCUGACUUCAGCUCAGGUCAUGACCUUGCAGCUUGUGAGUUCAAGCCCCACAUCAAGCU